UACGUAGGGGGCUAGCGUUGUCCGGAAUCAUUGGGCGUAAAGAGCGUGUAGGCGGUUUGGUAGGUCCGCUGUGAAAACUCGAGGCUCAACCUCGAGAUGUCGAUGGAAACCGUCUGGCUAGAGUCCGGAAGAGGAGUGUGGAAUUCCUGGUGUAGCGGUGAAAUGCGCAGAUAUCAGGAGGAACACCGAUGGCGAAGGCAGGUCUCUGGGCCGCAACUGACGCUGAGGAGCGAAAGCAUGGGGAGCGAACAGG
rnacentral:rRNA from 1 species